UACGGAGGGUGCAAGCGUUGUCCGGAUUUAUUGGGUUUAAAGGGUGCGUAGGCGGUUAUCUAAGUCAGUGGUGAAAGGCAGCAGCUCAACUGUUAGCACUGCCAUUGAUACUGGAUGACUUGAGUACAGAUGAGGUAGGCGGAAUUUAUGGUGUAGCGGUGAAAUGCAUAGAUACCAUAAAGAACACCGAUUGCGAAGGCAGCUUACUAAGCUGUAACUGACGCUGAGGCACGAAAGCGUGGGGAGCAAACAGG
rnacentral:rRNA from 1 species